AACGAACGCUGGCGGCAGGCCUAACACAUGCAAGUCGAGCGAAGCCUUCGGGCUUAGCGGCGGACGGGUGAGUAACGCGUGGGAACGUGCCCUUUGGUACGGAAUAGCCCCGGGAAACUGGGAGUAAUACCGUAUGUGGUCGAGAGACGAAAGAUUUAUCGCCAAAGGAUCGGCCCGCGUCGGAUUAGGUAGUUGGUGGGGUAAUGGCCUACCAAGCCGACGAUCCAUAGCUGGUUUGAGAGGAUGAUCAGCCACACUGGGACUGAGACACGGCCCAGACUCCUACGGGGGGCAGCAGUGGGGAAUCUUAGACAAUGGGGGAAACCCUGAUCUAGCCAUGCCGCGUGAUCGAUGAAGGCCUUAGGGUUGUAAAGAUCUUUCAGUGGGGAAGAUAAUGACUGUACCCACAGAAGAAGCCCCGGCUAACUCCGUGCCAGCCGCCGCAGUAACAC
rnacentral:rRNA from 1 species